GCUAAGCCAUGCACUUCACAAACAUCAGCUUUUUACAGAUAAAAGGCCAGCAGAUUACUGCUUUUCUGAUAUAAGAAGACAGAAGCUCAACCCUGUAGCAAAACUACAGAUCUGCUUGCAGGAGGUGGGCAGUCAAGGGCUAACUAGAAGACAUUAGAAGACUGGGCAGGAAACAGUUCAAAUGUGCUCAGAUCUGUCCCAUGUGCACCCAACAGCCCUGCAUUCCCAACACAAUGACAUGAUGACAGCUGUCUCAUGAGGCUGUGUUGGGAGCCCCAUGCUGCAGGAAGCUUCUGCUCCUCACAGUCCCCUUCUGCCACAAGGGAAGACCAAUGGCCUGCGUCCAUCCCUGAUAAGAAGUCCUGCUAUCAAUCCCAUGGGUGAUUAUGGAGGCAAGAUCACAAACUCUGGGUUGUAGGUUUGUGUCCACUCAACUGCUUCUGUGCCUCUCCAUGUGACCAGAUUGUAUGGUGGUCACCAGUCAGAAACGGUGGUCUGCCUGUCCACGGCUGUACUUUUACUUUGAACCAUGAUAUGCUUUUGUUCCUUUCUUCUAAGCUCUUUCCAACAAACACAUUCAAUUUUUGUCAGAGGUGAAGGAGUCUGGCUGCACUUCGAGCCUUGUACCUAUUUGUAAUGUCACUGAAGAUCUGUGUCAGCUCGGCCGCUGCCUGCUUGCUUGUGGGAAGUGGGAUGCCACAGUUAACCAAAGGAUCUCACUGAAGCAUGAAAAACUCUGCAAACAGCCUACACAAGCCACGGGAGCGACCUCAAGCCAGCUAGCUGAGAGAGAGACGUGUUUAAAUCAGCCAGAAGCAAAACAGCCAACACUUAUUAGCAGUUCCUUUGUUUCAAAGCUUUGAAACAAUAUCUACAACAAGCAAUUAUCACUCCUGUAACGAAUCUGCAGGAUAUGGACCAGGGUAUCUUGCAAUCACUCAACAAGGCAUGCGAUAACAAGGGAUUACUUAUUAAACUUGUACACAGGGCAUCCUUACUUCCUCUAGUCUUUGACUUUUCAGUUGCUGUCCCUUAGUGGAGGGUUUUCCAGCCGCAUGGAUAAGUGAAGGAUUCCCUUAAGGCCUGACUUCACGCCAGACACUCUGGCUGACCAGCUUUUGUGCAGGAUGCAGAGGGACACAUCACAGCCAGCAGCUGCCAGCUGGCCUCCAGUCUGCACUGCAGAGGCACCCGCAGCCCCCCAGCCCAAAGGGAGGUGCACAGGAAGGCCAGUCUCAUUUCUGCCAACAGUGUUCAAGUCGACCCUCCCCAGAGACCUCCUGCUCCAUCUCAAGCACAGUUUUUUCCUCAUGGUCCCACAGAAUAGAAAUGGAUGGGAAAAAUCAUUCUGUUUCUAUGCCCAACAGCUUACUUCUCUUUUACCAGAGGAUAUACUGAACAUGACACACAGCAAAGAAAAUCUGGUUCCCUCUAGGAGAUGGGAAUAGCCAAAUACACGUAUGCAAAGCAACUGAAAUUCAAAUGAGGAAUUAUAUUCACCAGUGAAGUAAGAGGGUUGUUUUUCCAACAGCUUUGUUACUGAGCAGUGCUGCAUCCACAAGGUGACCGACACCACCAACAGGGGUACAAUCAUUACAGA
ensembl:lncRNA